rnacentral:tRNA from 1 species
UUUUAUUUAUCUUAUAGUAGAGUGUCAUAAUGAAAAUCUGAAGGAGAUAUUGAAAAAUAUCUUUGAAGC